GCUCCACUGAUCUACUGGCUGAGCAGACUUCUAUUCCAGAGGUGGCCAACCCUGCUCCACUGAUCUACUGGCUGAGUAGACUUCUAUUCCAGAGGUGGCCAACCCUGCUCCACUGAUCUACUGGCUGAGUAGACUUCUAUUCCAGAGGUGGCCAACCCUGCUCCACUGAUCUACUGGCUGAGUAGACUUCUAUUCCAGAGGUGGCCAACCCUGCUCCACUGAUCUACUGGCUGGCUGAGCAGACUUCUAUUCCAGAGGUGGCCAACCCUGCUCCACUGAUCUACUGGCUGAGUAGACUUCUAUUCCAGAGGUGGCCAACCCUGCUCCACUGAUCUACUGGCUGGCUGAGCAGACUUCUAUUCCAGAGGUGGCCAACCCUGCUCCACUGAUCUACUGGCUGAGUAGACUUCUAUUCCAGAGGUGGCCAACCCUGCUCCACUGAUCUACUGGCUGGCUGAGCAGACUUCUAUUCCAGAGAUGGCCAACCCUGCUCCACUGAUCUACUGGCUGAGUAGACUUCUAUUCCAGAGGUGGCCAACCCUGCUCCACUGAUCUACUGGCUGGCUGAGCAGACUUCUAUUCCAGAGAUGGCCAACCCUGCUCCACUGAUCUACUGGCUGAGCAGGGUUCCAUUCCAGAGGUGGCCAACCCUGCUCCACUGAUCUACUGGCUGAGUAGACUUCUAUUCCAGAGGUGGCCAACCCUGCUCCACUGAUCUACUGGCUGAGUAGACUUCUAUUCCAGAGGUGGCCAACCCUGCUCCACUGAUCUACUGGCUGAGUAGACUUCUAUUCCAGAGAUGGCCAACCCUGCUCCACUGAUCUACUGGCUGAGCAGACUUCUAUUCCAGCCCAGAAAAUAGCACUCUUGAUGAUCAACUCUUUAGAUGUGAUGAUGAGUUGGUAAUCGGGUGUGUUAUUGCUGGGCUGGAAAAUAACCCUGCACAGCCAGCAGCUCCCGUUGUAACCAGGUUAAUACACUGUGUGGGAUGUUUAACUGUAUAACUGUAUACAGCAUUCUGUUAAACAUAGGUGGGCCAACACAUAUAACCCAGGGCACAUAGGAUAUACCCUUCGUCUCUUGGGACGUUCAUCGGGACCUCUCUCUUCAUCUGCCAACGGGCUUUCUUUCACAGCAUUCCAUAGCCGAGGACAGAUUACAUCACAAAGAAACAGGCUUCAUUAUACUCCAAUGAGACGGCACUGAAUAGUAUGUUGCCAUUAUCUCUCUGUCCUCGUAGUUUAACCCUCUAGGGACUGGAGAAUUUGUUCAUAAUGACCUGUCCAGUGGCCUACCAUUCUCCCGUUACUGACAGCUGAAGCGGCAAUGUCACCCUCUUCCAUGGCCGUUAUCUAGAAAAUACAUUUGGAGACUAUUUUUAAUUUUACAAUGAUUACAUCAAGAUAGCUAGCCAAUAGGAAGUUAGCUAGCUGAUUACAUUUAAUUCACUUAGCUAAACAGUGUGUAAAGUUAGCUAGCUCGCUAGUUAGCAGCUCAGUGGAGUCUACAAAGUGGCCUACUGUAGCCAGCUAGCUAGUUAGCAGUUCAGUGGAGUCUACAAAGUGGCCUACUGUAGCCAGCUAGCUAGAUGGCAGCUCAGUGGAGUUAGCCUAUAAAGUGGCCUACUGUAGCCAGCUAGCUAGUUAGCAGCUCAGUGGAGUCUACAAAGUGGCCUACUGUAGCCAGCUAGCAGCUCAGUGGAGUUAGCCUAUAAAGUGGCCUACUGUAGCUAGCUAGCUAGUUAGCAGAUUAGUGGAGUCUACAAAGAUGCCUACUGUAGCCAGCUAGCUAGUUAGCAGAUCAGUGGAGUCUACAAAGAAUGUUAGAAAUGUAACAUAUAAUCAAAAUAUGUUCGGUGUGUUUUUGCACCAAAUCUAAAUUCUCCAGACGGUGGUAUGGCAACGUGAGACUAGAGUGUAAUGUAUUGUGUGUGUGUCUGUCUGCCUGUGUAUGUAGUCUGUGUUAAUCUCCUCAACGCUGGGAAUUCCCCCUCUCCCCCACUCCUGGCCCCUCCCCUCUGACUUUGUUUCCUGUGGCGGUGACAUCACAGGUCAACCUUUGGGUCAUGGGGGUUGCGUUUCCUGUUUGGCACGGCAACAUAACGGUUCACGACCGUUCGUCCAAUGGGGUCCGUUUUAGAACACGACUCUGUGACAAAUUAUUAUUCAUUUAUAAGACAAGUUGGAAUCUCAUUUGGAGAAGACAAACUGACAUUUACAAUGAGACCAGACCAGAGCCCAUCAGCUAAAUGAAAGACGGAUUGAAAGAAGAACAGUAGAAAGAGGAAUAGUUUUGGAAAGAGGAAUAGUUUUGGAAAGAGGAAUAGUUUUGGAAAGAGGAAUAGUUUUGGAAAGAGGAAUAGUUUUGGAAAGAGGCAUAGUUUUGGAAAGAGGAAUAGUUUUGGAAAGAGGCAUAGUUUUGAAAAGAGGCAUAGUUUUGGAAAGAGGAAUAGUUUUGGAAAGAGGCAUAGUUUUUGGAAAGAGGAAUAGUUUUGGAAAGAGGCAUAGUUUUGGAAAGAGGAAU